GCUUACGGCCAUACCAGCCUAAAUACGCCCGAUCUCGUCUGAUCUCGGAAGCUAAGCAGGGUCGGGCCAGGUUAGUACUUGGAUGGGAGACCGCCUUGGAAUACCUGGUGAUGUAAGCUU
rnacentral:rRNA from 1 species